rnacentral:tRNA from 1 species
GCUCAGUUGGUUAAAUGUCUGACUCUUGAUUUUGACUCAGGUUGUGAUCAUAAGGUUGUGAGAUUGAGCCCCACAUUGAGCU